CUCUAUUAGAAUUAAUUACUAGUAAGAUCUGCUCAAUGAUAUUAAAUAGCCGCUUUUAGUGCUAAGGUAGCAUAAUCAUKUGUCUUUUAAAUGAAGACUAGAACAAAAGAUUUAACAUUUUAAUAAAUAUAUUUUAUUAGUACAAUUGAAAUUGUCUUAAAAGUAAAAAGACUUUUAUAUAAAAGAAAGACGACAAGACCCUAUUGAACUUAACUUAAGUUAAACUGGGGCAGUAAUUAAAUUAAAAUUUUUUAUUAAAAUUAAAAUAAAAAUUGAUCUAUUAUAAUUAAUUAAUUGAUCAAGUUACCAUAGGGAUAACAGCGUAAUAUAUUUUACAAGACCUUAUAUAAAUGUAAGUUUACGACCUCGAUGUUGAAUAAUAACCUAAUUAAAGCAAAAAUUAAAAAAGGAAGUCUGUUCGACUUUUAAAAAAUUACA
rnacentral:rRNA from 1 species